UUUUCGAUUUUUUUGUAACAUACAUAUAAUAACGUAUAAAGAAGACUGGUGAGUAGGAAGAGUAGAUAAAUAAACCUCACCUUACCGAAAUAGAGGGCAUAUCAAAUACAUGUGGAGCAAGAGUGGAUGAGAUAGAGAGAAAGGAGAACAUUUAUGUAGUGAGCAAAAUAGAGUUUGACAAAUUUAUAGUCUCAUACUUCUAAUAGAGGUAGAUGCUAACAUAGCUACCCAAACGAAGGAAAGAUAAUAAAAGAAUGUGACGCAUAAAAAUUUGAAUUUUAGCAAACUUCUUUUGAGAAUUGUGAGCUCUGUUAACUCGUAUUUGUAAAUUUUUUUUUUACUAACAUCUAAUUUUAUUUAUCUUUGAGCUCCAAAUUUAUCCACACUAUUUUAUUUUAUAGUAAAG
rnacentral:sRNA from 1 species